UUGGAAGUAGAUGCUAAACAAUAACAAAACUAAUAGACAACAUUAACAUAAAAACCUCUCUCUAGGAAAAAACCUCUUACUUCUCUCUAGAUCUCCAGCCGUAAAUAGGGUUUUCCGGCCGACGGCGUGGACUUCCACAGCCACCGUCGGUCCGGUUUUCUUUUGAUUUCUACAUGCAUAUCUAGUUCGCCCUCUGUUUUUUUCUUGAGUUUCCGAUCGUUUUUUUUUUGUUCCGGGUGAUGGAGGCUUCAUCAGAUCCAUCGGCGCCGGCUUAUGAUUCCGGAGAUGGAGGCUCUUUAUGCUCUGUGCUGCCCGCUUUUGUCUACAGUCCUAUCGUCUUUUACCCUUUGAAGACGAAGCUGUUUGGUGGUGAAGAUAAGGGAUGGUUUGUUGAUUUAAACUCGUCAGUGGUGUUUGAAAGCUCGGGAUGAGAUCUCGAAACAGUUUUGAUGGAUGCUCUUCGUAAAAAUGAGCUCAGGUGAAGGAAGUGUGUGUUCUAGGUUCUGGUGGCUCCGACGAAACGAGGGUUUUGGUCGUGUUCCGGUGUUGACUCGAAGCGGUGACGGUCAAGAUGAGUGGAAGGGACACGUGUCUCCUCGUUGGUGAGGAUCUUAACACGUGUCUGUGGCUCUUGACGCGUGGACCUGAAAUCGUUCGGAUUUUCUCGUUUUGGGUUUUAGGCCUAUUUCGUCUUCUCUGUACUGCCCUUAUGUUUGUGGGCUUUAUGUUGUUAUGUGUAAUAUGGGCUUCGGUCUUGUACUCUCUGAGCUUCGGCCUUUUAUAAAUAAAAGAUGGCAAGAAAAAAACAAUAACAAAACUAACAGCAGUUGAUGUCAGUAAGUAUUUUUCUUUUUAUUAGAAACCUUGAAUAUGUAUAUAUGGUUCUCAUCUAUACCCGUGUAUUUCAAUUCGUUUCUUUUUGGGCAAAGCGCUAAAAAGUCGUGAUAGUUUUAGUGUUUGGCUCUGCUUGAUUUUCACAUAACAAUCCUUAACCAUCUUUCAUGUGUUUAGCUUUUGAGGGUACUUACUUUGCUGUAAAAUGCUAAGAGAUGUAUUAUCGACAAAAUAAUAAUAAUAUAAAAGGUUUAGAUUUACUAAUCCAGGUUUGCUUACCACCAAAAUUUGAUUCUUAAAUGUCGCCAUAUAAAUCGCAUAUUUUACCCAAAAAUAAUUGCAGAAGGUAUAGAAAAAAAAACAAUUCGCUAAGAAACAUCCUACUAUAUAAAAGCUACUAAUUUUGAGGCUUCUUAAGAGUGCCACAUAGGAUAAAAUAUUCUCUACCAAUCAAACUACCACGUCAUCGCGAAUGUUUAGAUGAUGAGUCUCAAACUAUCCAAAACCAUCAAAAUAGUCAACCCAUUGUAUAACUUAUAGCUUCCUUUUCUUUAGCCUACUUGCCUCAGACGUCUCCAGCGACUCCAAAUCUGUUCGUCUACCCAACUUCACCGGUGUAACUCCUACAACUACAACAAUGGCACUUCAAUGCUCCAUUAUAACUCAUCAAGUGAAGAUUCUUUGUACCUCUCCACAUCCCUCUUGCCCAGUUCCUUAAAUUUGAUUUGUCACAAAAAGUUAGUGCAUGAGAUAGUUUUUGAAAUUCAAAUAAUACUAGGUGUUUUUCUGCACCAUGUGCAAUGAUAAAUUUUUUAAAAGUUAAAUUAUAUUUAAAAUGAAAUUUAUUAAUAUUAUAUAUUUUAUUAUUUUUGACUAAUAUUUAAUAUAAAGUUGACUAUUUUUGAGACUAUAUUGUUUGCUAUUGUGAUCAACACCUUUUUACAGUACUCUGUUUAUAUUUUUUUUUUAUUAGUCAUCUUCUUGUUAUUUUUUUCUUUUUGGUAAAAUGAUUAAAAAAAAAAGACUGAAGCUAAAAUUAAUCUUUUUGUUCUUGAUCAUUCACGUUAUCUUCAAAGUUAAUAACAUAACCAACGUAAAUGAUCGACGUUGAGAUUACAGCUUUUCUGAUUUUUACUAUUCUAAUGUUCAAUAUAAUUUGAAUAUUCUCUUUGUUUUAUAAUAUAAUGGUUUAAAAGUAUUUUUUGUUUCACUAUAUAAAUUGUUUUUAUAUGUCAAUGUAACUUUAUAUUUAUUGGAUAUUGUGUAGCCAAUUAAAUUAUGUAAAUUACUGUGUAAUUGAUUAAAUUUAUAUAUUAAAUGACAGAUUUCUAAAGUAAUAACUUUUAAAUAUUUCAUAUUUUAAUUAAAAUUGAUUACAUUUUGAAACAUAUAGAGUAAUCUAUAAACUAACUCUAUAUAGAUAUGAUGACAAAAUUGUAAACUGGUCUCAUCUUGAAUUUCUCUCAUUCUGUGCAUUCCUAAUUGGGAGGAGAUAAUCAACAUCUAAUUUUAUGUUACUCUCAGUAUAUUAGAAAUACUCGAACCUUAAACCAAUUAAGGAUGAUGUAAGGAAGGCAUAAAGAUGUAUUUCCAGUUAUCACAAAUAUAGAAUCAAUUGACAACAACUUAAUUAUGUCCAGAAUAAGACAACAUAGAAGAGUUUCCAUACCUUCUAAUAUUAUAAUAUCUCACUAUAUUAUUGGUUAAAUCAGUUUUCUCUAGUACAAAUACUCACUCAAUUCUUAGAGUUUAAGCUUUUCUAUCUGAUGAUAUUAGUAGUUUGAUCCAAAAAAAAGAAGAAACAGUCGAACUGUACAUUAUAAUUGGAGAAAGAAAACAAACAAAAAUCAACCGGAGACUUUUAAGGUAUAUGAAACAAAAAUUGGAAAUAUCAAUUCUCAGCAUUUAAAGAACAUUGCAAUAAAAUUGUAAAAAUACAAAAUAAAACAAAAAAUACACAGAAAAAAGAUUUAGUAUAAUAAAAUCAUAAUAUAAUUUCCAUAAUUGAUAGUACUCAGCUACACUAAAAAGUCUAAAUUUACAACAUACACAGUUUUAUUUACAUCUUGAAACCUAUUAUCUAAUUAAAAUGAUUCUAGAAAAAGUGCCAGCACGAAGAGUUAAAAAAUAUACAAUAAAAUAUAAUACAUAACGUUAAAAAUACAUGAUCACUGAUCACUAAAAAAACAUGUUAGUAGUAAUAGAAAUGAGAUGACAACACAUUUAUUAAAACCAUAGAACGACACGCAAUAAGGUGUUAUUAAAUAUACAAAUUACAAAUUAAAUAUGCUCAACGCAAACACACAUAAAAAUGAGACAUCAUAUUUGGAUAUAUUUAAAUAAAUAAUUUUAAAUAUAUUAUAUUCUUGAUAAUUUUAAAAUUACUUAAAAAGAAACUAAAUUAUUAAAAAAAUAAUAUACAAAUAAAACUAAAGCAAUAUUUUGUAACGUCAAAAUGAUAAAUGAAUAAAAAAUAUAGUAUGUUAAUAAAAUAGAUUUUAGAUUUUAAAGACUUCUAAUUCAUGUAAUAUUACAAAAUUCAAAAUUUGUUUAUUACAAUUAAUAUUUUACAUUAGAUAUAUUAAAAUAAUAUUCUAGAUCGUUAUUCAAUUGUCAGUUUUCAACUAUUACACGUUAAAAAAUAUUAUUAAGUACACUUUUUUUUAAAAGGAGGUUUUAUAUUUUAAGUAGGUUAUUGGAGUACUUUUUCUUUUCGUAAAUUUAUUCGAGAUGAGAUUCCGAUCUUUUAAACUAAGAUAAUUUGUGUUCUAUACAUAAUUAUAUUUUUUUUACAUAACUCUAAAAUCUCGGACUUGAUUCUUCAUAUUUUAUUAGUUAAUUGUGUUACAUAUAAUAGAAAUAUUUACUUCAAACUAAAAAUAUUAAAAAAAUCAAAUUUAAAAAUUAGUUAUAUAUAAUUUAAUAUAGAAAAAUUUACAUACAAAUAAAAAUGAUAAAUGUAACAAAUUUAAAUAUAUUAUCCGCGCGUAGCGCGGAAAAAGGAUCUAGUUAAAAGGAAAAAGGACUUGUCAGAAUAGUGGUAUGGUCAAAAUUUGAUAGUAGGAACUUACAUUUUUUACUAACUCCAUUUUAUUUUCAUCAACUGCAAACUAGAUGCACUAUUCACACACACUCUUCUUCGAAUCUUAACAUUGAUUUCAUAUAUUUGUUAUGAUAGGAAUUGGUUCUUAAUAGUCCAAGGAAACAAUAAUAUUAGGAAUUAGAUUCUUCAUGGAACAAUGUUAGGUGAAGGUAAUCUACUCGUUGUUGGCCAAAUUAGUAGGAAAAGAAAAUUUGCAAAUCAUGAUGUGACGUUGGGGACCGAAGAGAUCAAGCUCAAGAAGGUGGGAGGAAUAGUAGUAGAUACUAUAGUUUGUUCUCAAUCAACAUUGGAUGUAGUCGUUGAUCAAGAUCAGCAUCGAGUUAGAUUUCUUGGUUCGUUUGGUUGUUUUCAAUUGGAGAUUGACAUGGCAGCAAACAACUGUUCAACUUGAAAAAAAGUUCAUGGAGUUCUCAGACGUCUCAUCUGGCUCCUUCUGUUUUCAACACAAACACUCCUCAUUGGUGGAGGCCUGAUAGUGAGAGUGUAUUUGAGACAUAUUCAUUGUUAUGAUGAAGAGAAUAAUAAGUUUUCACUCGUGGAUGGAUAUAGUAUUCUUGCUAAGCAGAUUCUUUAUACAGCUGUCUCUGGUGCUGGAAAUCUUUUAGCAUUUAGCAGGAACAAAACGGUGGAAAUUCAAGGUGUUGCUACGCUGUUCACAGAGGAGAUAAAGGUGGAAAAGCUGGGAGGUAAAGUUGUUGCAAGUCUGCUCUGGUCUAGCACGACAUCAAACUUAGAUUAGUCUCCAGUUCUCAGUUUUCUUGGUUCUACCCAUGUGACCAAAUAUAUAGCAAUCAAGUCCUAAAUAUGAUGUUAGAUUGAUGCAUUUUGUGUAGUUCUUUGUCUUACUUCUUACAGUUGAAAGAACUUGAAUUAUUUUUUGGGGGAAAUAAAGCAAGUAUAAACGCAAAUACAUUCUUAUUUCCUUUAUAUUUUACUUUGAAAUCUAUAGAGAGAAUCAAAAUUAACAUCAAUCCCCAUCAAACAAACUGAUCAAUAAUCCAUAUCAAGCUUACCUUGUAGUGGCUGCAUUCAGUGAGAAGAAAAUAACGUUCAUGGUAGGACCAUAUACCGUCUGUCCCAUGGCCAUUUUCUUAAACGUAGUGAUCAAAUCUCGCUUCGGGAAGAUUGAACCUGUAGUGAAGUGUAGGACCUAAGAUUAACCAGCCACCAGAUUCAUGAAACUUACACAAAUCACGGCUAUGUAAAUAAGCGACGACGUGACGGAUUUAGUCAGAACCGGCCGUGUUUUUAACAUGCCAAGAUAAGAUACCAUCCCAUGAAUCAUGUCUUCACAAACGACGCCGUGGAAGAAGAGGAAGAGCAGAAACCGGAGAUCAAUGAAUGAGGAGAGACUCCUGUUUCCUUUACUUUCCCGAGAGACUGUGGCGUACGAAAACAAGGCCUCGGCUGAAAUAUAAUGAAGAGAAAUGAAUUUUGAAGGAAGAGAGACACGUUUGUGCUUGUUUUUCCACACUACACGUGUUGGUUGACGUUGACCUCUAUGUCUCAAGUCUUCUGUCUUGGUCUACUAUUGUAAUAUGAGAGCCCCUUGUAAUAUUAUAAGGCAGUUUUCGGUAAGAAAACUUUUUGCAAGAGAGCUUGACUGAUCAAAAUUAAAGAUUAAAAGUUAUUAGCGUUUAACAUUGUUAGUGGACCGGUUGUAAACUGAUCAAAAUUAGGUAGAAUGUAGGAUUCAACAAAGUAUUAAAAUGGUUGAAGCAUUUUUCAUAUCUUGUAACUGAGAAGGAGACGUUAAAGCUCUGAAUAACUUCAUAUAUUUCAUAUUCUUUUUUCUUUUCUUUUUUUUGGACUUCAUUGCUCAAAAAAGGUGGAUGCCACUAUUUCUCCAGUCCCAUGCUACUUCCAAGCAGAAAGUGUAUAUAUAACCCAUCAUUAAUGUUUCUCUGACCACCACCAAUAACUUUCAAACUUUUGGUGAUUUCACAAUUUCCACCUCAAUUUUUAUAUACAAAUGUUAUGUUGGCUAGAGUCUCUAUUCGCAUUUGACAUGCUUUAUAAACUAAUGCUUGCAUCGUUUACUAAGGAAAAAAAGACCAAAAAUGUUGAAUCAUAUAUAUAAAUCAUAUUCCAAAAUUAGGACGGUAAAUUUUUCUAUCCACGAUGAUAUAGGUUCACAUCCCCUCAAGUGUGAGAAAUAAGAACCAACCCAUUAUGACAAGAUGAACAAGACCACCGCAAACAAAAAACAAAAAGAACCUUCAAACAAACAAAGUCUCUUCUGUUAUACAUUGAGGGGUAGAGACAGAACCACAAACAAACAAAGUCUCUUCUGUUAUACUUUGAAUAAGCCAAGUUAAAAGAAGACUUAAUAUUCAAGCAAAACUCAGACACAUAAACUCCCUUAACUCAGACACCUGAGUGCGAACCGGUGUUGUCUCGAACUUCUCUUUAGUGAACACAUGGUUGUACCGUUGAGGCAGUGCAUGUUCCACUUACAAUGUCGUAAUACACACACUAUGAGAAAUGAUUCCUUCAGUGAACAGACACUAUCCCCUCAUUCACACUCCAUUGAUUACCAUAAACUCAAUGUUUUUAAAACCGACCCGGACACUGAACCGGACAGUUUACCGGGUUGAUGGGUCACUGGGUCGACCGUGGGUGAACCGCAGAUUAAUAAAUAAAUUAAUUUUAUUAUAUAAUAAUAUACCAGCUAUGUAAAUAAAAAUAUAGAAACUAAAGUUUAAUAUUUUCUAAUUUUUUUAAAACAUAAAAUAAUAGUAAGGAAUGUAUAUAUUUUAUGUUUAAAAACAUUUAGAAAAUACUUAACUUUAGUUUUUAUAUUUUUAUUUUCAUUUGACAUACAAAAUAUCAAAACAAUAGUUUAGACUAUUUAAAAUUUUCUCUAAGUAAAAGUUAUGACAUCUAAAAUAAAUCAAAACAUGAAUUUAUAAAUCAUAAAUAUUUAAAUAUAUAAUGUGAAUAAUAAAUUAAACUACAAAUACAAAAUAAACCAAAAGUAAAAGAUCAUUAUAAUAAAUUAUCAAUAACGAAAAUAAACUAACACCAAAUAACAUCAACUAAUUUUGGUUAUAUCUACCAAUUCACUUAGAUGACAUAGUGAAAUCUUCAUUAAAAUUUAAAAAUCACAAAUAUAAAACUGAAAAAAAAAACAUAACUUUUUUUUGUCAGUACCUAACUUCUUAAUUAGAAACUUAUAAUAUAAAACAAAAUUAAAAACUAAAAAAGAAGAAGUAAAAGUUAUUUAUUAGUUCGACUGAUGGUUCAACCGGUACCGGAUUCCGGGUUUUACCGGGUUUUUGCAGGUUUUUGUGGGUUUCUAAAUAUUGGGUUUUCACAAAACUCAAACCAGAUUUUUUCUGAGUCACCGGGUUUACCGGUUCAACCGCGGGUCCGGGUCGGAUUUCAAAACACUGCAUAAACUUGUAAUCAAUGACUUCUGAAUUCAUUAACACUCCAGAAAUAUUUCGUUGCUGAAUGAACAAAUUCGAAGAAUUGAUGUAACUAAAAGGUUAUUUUUUGUUUUUUUGUGAUCAAUGGUUUAUUUGUUUUUUUUUUUGUUUAAGCAAAAUACAAAUGUUCAUAACUCGUAUGAAUAUGAACUUUCAUUAAUAGAUAUUCAUAUUAUAUAUAUAUCAUUUAAAUUAAAUUAUCGACUAUAUAAAAAUAUAGAAAUUAUAUGUUAAUUUAAAAUUUUGCAUUGAAAAAAUAUUGUGAUCUUAAUAUUAUAUAUAUUAUAAGUUAAAUUAAACUAUGUACAAUAUAAAAAUACAUAAAUAUUUUAAUUUUGCAAUUUGCAUUAGAAAAUAUCAUAUCGAAAAUUUUGAGAUUAAUGGUUUAGAAUUUUUUUUUUUACAGCAAAUAUACAAAUCUUAAUAAAAUCAUAUAAUUAGAAAGUCUUAAUAAUAAAUAUUUAUAUUAAAAUAUACUAUAUAUCUAUGCCAAUACCAUUGAAAUUUAAUUAUAUAUCAUAUAAAAUAAAUAAAGUGAUUACUCUGAUUUAUUUACCAUAAAAAUGUUGCAAAUUAACAAGAAGUAUUGUUUUGAUUUAUGUGAUUACUGUAAUCCCAUAUAUAUUAACUGAAACAAUUGAUUACUAUAGUACUAUAAGAUUUUAUUAAUUAAUAUUUUUCAAUAAUCUUAUAAAAGAUCGAUACAAUGAAGAUUUGUGUAGAUGCUAUUGAAAUCAUCUAGCGAGAAUAUGGAUUGCACAACAAAAUUUCUUUCCUAACCCUAUCCCCUUUUUUUCAUCACAACACCGACAUAGGAUAAUUUAGAAGUGUCAAUUGAAAAUCUGAAAAUAUAAAGUUUUCUUUUGUUUUCGGCCCACUGUUUUCCUUAAAUGGGCAUAGAACAAAUUUUAAUGAUUAAAUAAAUGGAUACGUAUAUAGAAUAAUGUGUUUUGGUUUAAUUGUGGCAUACCCAGAAUCAAUAUGAACUAUCAUCACUUUCGAUUAAAAUUUGGUUACAAUAAAAAAUAUAGGUUUGGGAAAAAACUUUGAAUAUAAAAAAACUGAACCAAAUCUAAUCUGAAAAAAUAGUACUGAACUUUAACAAAAUUGGUUAGAUAUUCGAAUAUGUUCAAAAUUUUAGUAUCUAGAGAACCAGAACGAAACCUGAUCCAAACCAAAAUAUUUUGGAUAUCCAAAAAUACUCGAACCAGAUUUAUAUGCUUACAUAUAUUAAUUAUUUUCAUAUUUAAUAUCUAAAAUAAUAUACAAAAUAUAUAAGAUAUUUUUAAGUUGUUCAAAAUACUUGGAAAUAUAUAAAAGUAAUUAAAAUACAGUAGAAUCUCUAUAAAUUAAUGAUCGAUGAAAAUAGUUAAAGUACAAUAUAACCUCUAUAAAUUCACUAUUUUGAUCAGUUCUACAUGACAAACAUAGAGUUUGACCAGAAGCUAUAAUAUCUUUCUUAUUCUGGAAGCUCUAACCCACAUCUAUAAUAGAGAUCUCUAAAAUAGAGAAAAAAAUAGAGAUGGUGUUUUUGCUCCAAUGUGUUCCUCUAUAAUAGAGGAAUGCUAUAUUUGCCUCUAUAAAUAGAGGAAACCAAUUUUUUCCUCUAUAUUUAGGGGAAAAAAUAGCAUUCCUCUAUUUAUAGAGGCAAAUAUAGCAUUCCUCUAUUAUAGAGGAACACAUUGGAGCAAAAACACCACCUCUAUUUUUGCCUCUAUUUUAGAGAUCUCUAUUAUAGAGAUGGGUUAGAGAUGGUCUAGCGCAUUUUAGUUAGACCCCUUGUCUUCCUCAUUUUGAUCUCGGAUUGCUGUGUCUGAGUGUCAUAGGUGUUGGACACUCCAUUGCUAGAAGCAGGGAUGGGUUCUUCAACUUUUUUUUUUUACAGCAAAUAUACAAAUCUUAAUAAAAUCAUAUAAUUAGAAAGUCUUAAUAAUAAAUAUUUAUAUUAAAAUAUACUAUAUAUCUAUGCCAAUACCAUUGAAAUUUAAUUAUAUAUCAUAUAAAAUAAAUAAAGUGAUUACUCUGAUUUAUUUACCAUAAAAAUGUUGCAAAUUAACAAGAAGUAUUGUUUUGAUUUAUGUGAUUACUGUAAUCCCAUAUAUAUUAACUGAAACAAUUGAUUACUAUAGUACUAUAAGAUUUUAUUAAUUAAUAUUUUUCAAUAAUCUUAUAAAAGAUCGAUACAAUGAAGAUUUGUGUAGAUGCUAUUGAAAUCAUCUAGCGAGAAUAUGGAUUGCACAACAAAAUUUCUUUCCUAACCCUAUCCCCUUUUUUUCAUCACAACACCGACAUAGGAUAAUUUAGAAGUGUCAAUUGAAAAUCUGAAAAUAUAAAGUUUUCUUUUGUUUUCGGCCCACUGUUUUCCUUAAAUGGGCAUAGAACAAAUUUUAAUGAUUAAAUAAAUGGAUACGUAUAUAGAAUAAUGUGUUUUGGUUUAAUUGUGGCAUACCCAGAAUCAAUAUGAACUAUCAUCACUUUCGAUUAAAAUUUGGUUACAAUAAAAAAUAUAGGUUUGGGAAAAAACUUUGAAUAUAAAAAAACUGAACCAAAUCUAAUCUGAAAAAAUAGUACUGAACUUUAACAAAAUUGGUUAGAUAUUCGAAUAUGUUCAAAAUUUUAGUAUCUAGAGAACCAGAACGAAACCUGAUCCAAACCAAAAUAUUUUGGAUAUCCAAAAAUACUCGAACCAGAUUUAUAUGCUUACAUAUAUUAAUUAUUUUCAUAUUUAAUAUCUAAAAUAAUAUACAAAAUAUAUAAGAUAUUUUUAAGUUGUUCAAAAUACUUGGAAAUAUAUAAAAGUAAUUAAAAUACAGUAGAAUCUCUAUAAAUUAAUGAUCGAUGAAAAUAGUUAAAGUACAAUAUAACCUCUAUAAAUUCACUAUUUUGAUCAGUUCUACAUGACAAACAUAGAGUUUGACCAGAAGCUAUAAUAUCUUUCUUAUUCUGGAAGCUCUAACCCACAUCUAUAAUAGAGAUCUCUAAAAUAGAGAAAAAAAUAGAGAUGGUGUUUUUGCUCCAAUGUGUUCCUCUAUAAUAGAGGAAUGCUAUAUUUGCCUCUAUAAAUAGAGGAAACCAAUUUUUUCCUCUAUAUUUAGGGGAAAAAAUAGCAUUCCUCUAUUUAUAGAGGCAAAUAUAGCAUUCCUCUAUUAUAGAGGAACACAUUGGAGCAAAAACACCAUCUCUAUUUUUUCCUCUAUUUUAGAGAUCUCUAUUAUAGAGGUGGGUUGGAGAUGCUCUAACGUGAUGAUAAAACAAGAUUAAUUAAUAUACCCACAUCAUACUGUCCGUCCACGUCAGUUUCUUAAUUACAAUGAGACAACUUCUUUGUAAUUAAUAGAAUAAAUGGUCCAACUUGCUAUUAAAUUAACACUAAUCAGUACAACUACAUUCACAAGUUUGAUCAAUUCUAUAGAACAAACACACGAAGCGUUUGACCAGUAUGCUGGAAACAGUAUAUAACGUGGUGAACCAAAUGUAGAUUAGUCUAAAUACAACCCUAAGAUGAGUAGAUUAGCCAGAAAAUGAAUUCAAUAGUUAUCCAUUUCUAUUCGCCGACAUGCAAGUAUAUAUCAGCUUACACGUUGGUUACAGCUUUACUCACCGUUACUCAUUCUCUUAUUACAACAUUUCCCUACUAAUAUAUCCAUUGGUUGACAAAAGAAUACAAAAUAUAAUUUACUUAUAGAACUGCCUGUAACUUGUAAUGAAAUAAGUCAAUGAGACACGCCUUUGAAUCUCUUAUCCUCCUGAACAAUUCAUAUGCUCGCUAAUUAAUUUAAUGUAGUUUCUUCCACGAUUUAACUUUGAUUAUUUACAUACUCUUAGACAUGAAUUUAGUUUUACAAAGGCAUGUUUUUUUAUAUAAAUAACCUUUGAACAUUGACGGCGUAAAUUUCAUAUAAACGUAAUUAGUAUGUUACUCUAAAAUAAAACAUUAUAGAUAUGUAUAUAUUUCUUUACAAUCCUUUAUAUACUAAAGCACAAGUCACCUGACUAAUCAGAAUAUGACAUGUGGCAAAAAAAUUUAAAAACAAAUAUUGAUACAAAAUUAUCUUUCUAAAAAUCACAUUCAAGUCCCGAGUUUUCAGUGAGUUCAAAUACCUACAUUCCUAAAAAAAUUCCCAUUAUAAUCACCACGUUCAAAAAUAUGAUCCACGAUUUAAAACUGCCUCUAUACCUUCUUCAUAUCUCUUCUUCUACAUUGCUUCUUAUUUUUCUUUUUUCUCUUUCAGAUAUUCGACAGAUGCAAGAAAAUCCAUACAAGUCAUAUUCUUUUAUUAUUUGUUUCAGCUUGAAAAUGGCAUCUGAGUGUUGAGUCUACUCCUGUUUUAAAGCGUUGUCAGGUAACAAUAAGUAUCUCUAACUCUUUUAUUUAUAAAACUAGGGGCUCUAUCCCCGCGCAAGCGCGGGGUCAUGGACGUUGUUACUCUUAUCUCAUUGUGAUGUGUUGACGUGUUUGUGAAGUUUUUAUUUUGUUGUCAUUGAUUUUCCAAGAUGUGAUAAAGGAGGCAGAUAACAUAUCAGUUUUUUGUGGUAAGCGAUUGAAGGCCUCUCUGUAACCAUUAGCUCUAACGACUUGUACUUAUUGUGAAACGUACAAAAUAACUAACCUAGAAAAAAAAUAAAAAUGCUCUUCCUCUUGAGAUUUCUGAAUCGACAUCAAAAGCAUCCUUAAAUAUUUUGCACACCAUUUCUUACCUUUAAAAAAAAGUGGAAUAAGAAAAAAUAAACACAACAGCAUAUUUGAGUUCAAAUACCUACAUUCCUAAAAAAAUUCCCAUUAUAAUCACCACGUUCAAAAAUAUGAUCCACGAUUUAAAACUGCCUCUAUACCUUCUUCAUAUCUCUUCUUCUACAUUGCUUCUUAUUUUUCUUUUUUCUCUUUCAGAUAUUCGACAGAUGCAAGAAAAUCCAUACAAGUCAUAUUCUUUUAUUAUUUGUUUCAGCUUGAAAAUGGCAUCUGAGUGUUGAGUCUACUCCUGUUUUAAAGCGUUGUCAGGUAACAAUAAGUAUCUCUAACUCUUUUAUUUAUAAAACUAGGGGCUCUAUCCCCGCGCAAGCGCGGGGUCAUGGACGUUGUUACUCUUAUCUCAUUGUGAUGUGUUGACGUGUUUGUGAAGUUUUUAUUUUGUUGUCAUUGAUUUUCCAAGAUGUGAUAAAGGAGGCAGAUAACAUAUCAGUUUUUUGUGGUAAGCGAUUGAAGGCCUCUCUGUAACCAUUAGCUCUAACGACUUGUACUUAUUGUGAAACGUACAAAAUAACUAACCUAGAAAAAAAAUAAAAAUGCUCUUCCUCUUGAGAUUUCUGAAUCGACAUCAAAAGCAUCCUUAAAUAUUUUGCACACCAUUUCUUACCUUUAAAAAAAAGUGGAAUAAGAAAAAAUAAACACAACAGCAUAUUUGAGCUAAGGUUCACACAGUAAGCACAAAAGAAAAAAUAAUGUACCUUCAUACCAAAAGCAAGGAAGUACAGAGAUCAGUGAGGCUGGUCCUAAGUUAUUUGAAGCAACAUGCAAAGACACGUUCAAGAUAUAUCAUGUCUUUCCACACUGUCUAUAAUGCUGUCAACGCCUUGGUCAUGCCCUUGUCUUGAUGUAUGUAUCAAAGCCUCGUAGCUUAUGAGUGUAUGUUGUAGUCUAAUUUACUUGGGAACCUUAAAGUGCAUAUUCAAGUAACAGAAGUACCUUUUUACUCUAUUCACUCAAAAUUAGUCAAAGCUAAAAAAAUAUCUUUACUUAAACCUGUUACAAAUUGAUAUAUAACCUAAGCUGUGUUUCACUUCAGCAAUCUAAUUGUACUACAAAAAGUUUUGCAUCUCUUCAUUACAACACCAAACAAACUUCACAAUGUGCUCCUAAAAUCCUUGUUCCACAAACGUCACCGAGAUAGAAUAGCAGAUAAUGGGUCUUUUGUUAAUACCAGAGCCUAAUCGAUGGUCAUCAAAGCAUUGUACUUUUUCCCUCAUUAGCCGGCUGUUGCAGGUGAAGAAACUGUAGUCCGGCUGAUAAAAUUGCAGACGCUCAGGCCAAUUAUUUGCAGCUUGUGGCAAGGAAGAUAGCUUGUGGCACUCUUGCCUCUUGAGCUCUGCUUUGGUUCCACAGAGAUACUUUGAGCUUAUAAGAUGUGAGUCCAAAAGUAGGCACCAGUAGCUUUAUGGAUGGUUACGUCUCACUACAACCAAGGAACCUGCUUGAACAAAUAGACAACACAGUGUAAGAGAUCUUUCUAGGUUGUAACAAUCAGACAUACACAUUAUACUGAUAACAUCGAAAGCUUAUGUUACUACUUCUGUUGAGGAGGUGUUGCUGAGAGAGAGUGGAAAGUUAGAAAGUAGUCAUCAACGUGUCAAACAGUUAUUAAGUACCUAAAUACCAACAAAUUAUAAGAUCACCGUUUCAAGUCCAUCCAUAUAUAUAUAUAUAUAUAUAUUUCAAAGAUAACAACCUCCAGCCCCAAGAGAAGGUUUGCAGAUUGAAAGAGAAGCAACAUAAAAUACUCCAAGCAUUUAAAAAAAAUGAUCGAAUUUUUAGGGUGCCAGUAAAAAUUUACCUUAUGCAGAGAUUUGUGAUGUCAAUGGAUAACAGUGCGUGCCGAUCAUUUUUUUGAAUCAACCAAACUACUAUAUCAUCUCUGUUUUGGUAAAUCUCUACUUUCUUAAUUUAAAAGAAAGAAACGUCAAAAGAAGACACAUAUGCGUCACAUGUCAGAACAAAACGUGAGAAUGAACUUAACAAACUUGGCUGUUCGUGAGUGAAGCACUGCGGUUGGACCAAAUCCAGAAACUAUGUUCAGAACACCAGGAGGAAGACCUGCCUAUCAUAUAUUUUAAGAAACAUACUUAAGACUUUUAUUUUAGUAGCAAAAAUGGUAAGUAGAACGUGAAAGGAACGGAACAUUGAUUACUUCAAAAAAAAAAAGCUUACUGACAUAAAAACAGUGAGAGGAGUUUGUUCAGUGGUUUUGAGGACAAUAGUGUUACCACAAGUAAAAGCAAGACCAACUUUUCAAGCAAACAUCAGAAGCGGAAAGUUCCAUGGAAUGAUCUGUCCAGCAACGCAUAUCGGUUCAUGCAGUGUCUGGACGUGAUAGUUUCCAUUGGCUGGAAUUGUUAGUCCAUGAAUCUUAUCCGCCCCUCCUACACAUCAAAGAAAAACUUACCAACAAAAGCAAGAAAAUUUGAUAGUAUUCUCAAGAUUUUGAUGUAUAUACCAGCAUCAUUACAAAACAAACCGGCGAUCAUUGCAAUCUCUGCGGUUUUGGCUUGAUCAUAAGUAUUCCCAUUGCCACAUGUGUCUAGAGCUGCGAGCUCUUCGCUGUGUUUCUCAACCAAAUAUGUGAAUCUCAGCACUAUCUUUGAGUUUUCCUGAAAUUCAAACAAAGAUAAGUCCACAUCACAUUAACUUUCAUAGCUUUCAAGAUCAAAAACAUUAUAUAGUAUUAUACAUAAGCAAUCAUCUUAGGCCAAGCUCCUUCAUCAAUGGACUUCCUUGCAGCUUUCAUUGCCCGGUUGAUAUCUUCAGCAUCGCCUUCAGCUACGUUCGCAAUGACUUCCUUUGUGCGUGUAUCAAGAGCUGGGAAGGUCUUACCUAAAGCCAAUUAAAAAAUCAAACAUUAGUGCUCAAGGAACUUAAAUUUCAAGCGUCAAUAUUUUCCCUUGCUAUUCCUCCGUUUCUGAACAAAGCAUUUUUUUAAAAUGAAAACUUUACUCACCAGAAGCUGCGCCUACGAAGUUCCCAUUGUUAGGGAAUUGUGUGUAAGAAAAUUGAACUGAUGGGAUUAUGAUUUCUUCAGUUGCAGAAGAGGUUCCAAAUCACCGUACGAUUUUCCUUUUAAUGUAACAAAUUAUCCAUGUAACCGAAGUGUUUUAAUACAUCAUAGCCACAUAUUCACAUAUUAAAGAAUCUAACUUCCGGUCUACUUUACAACAACAACUUUUUUCUGCUUUAUUGUUGUACCCUACUAAACACUAAGUGUCAACUAAUCCAAGAAGCAGCGAUGAACACCUUAACGCACUUAAAAUCUAAAAGACCAAAGAACACACAGAUUCCAAAGGAGUCGAACCUGAGCUUGAGAAGUCUCAAUUCACCGUCUUGCGAUAGAUCUGAUAGCACGCCCUGACUUUAUCACUUUCUAUUUCUCAAAGGAGACUGAAAAAAGUUGGUGAGACAUACCUAUAUCUCCAGAGUUGCAACCGAUGGACCUCUGAGCUGCACAAUAAUUAGGUAAGAAAAAAACUUUUGUCCUUAAAGAAACUGAGAUCAAAAAGAGGCAAAUAAGAUGUGCUUACAUCAGACUGUUUGAUUUCACACAGGGUGCUGGGCAUAGAUUGGUUUUUGAUAGAUAAAUCACCGUCGUCCAACAGUGAAUACAUGGCCUCUCAUGAUACAGUGUGGGGGUUCUGAAAUUACAUAAAAAAACACUGGGACAGUUAGACACAGAAGUAUUGUAGUCAAGAAGUAGAAAAGUCUCAGACAUAACAGCAUAGUUCUGUCGGAAAAAUAUAAAAGAACCAAACAUGAAGCCAACUGAACUCGUUGGGCAUGAACUGAAAGACCAAACCUUCAACAAAAAAGUAUUAGAUCAAACCAAUAAAAAAUACUAAUCACUGAUGAAACUUGACCCACCUGAAAAUACUGAGAAAGUAUCUUCGCCCAUUGAGCCUUAGCUCCGACUCUCCAGAUUCCGAUCCAGGAUCCGAAACCGGUCCUUGAUUCUCAACCAAAACAUCGCUCGCCGAUGAAGACCCCGCCGGUUCCGCCGCCGCCGCCUAAGCUAUUAAAAAAAUCAAAAAUCAGAUUCGAAACCAAAAAAGAAAAAAAACUCAGAUUCGGACAAGAACAAACAUACAAAUUCAAUAACGGCAUCGAUCUUAACCUUAGGUCACUUUGUAGGGGGUGGAGAUGAUGAAGACGGUUCAGGGGAUGAAGAAGAAGAACAUAAACGCUUGAAAGGCGAAGAGCUACGUCUCGUCUCCACGAUAUCCCAAGAAAUCAUAAACAUAUGUAUUUAUUAUUUAAUAACGAAACCAAACUGAGAUAACCAAACCGGACAUGAAUCAUGGGACCCACAAACAUAAAGGAGUCGCUGACGUGGAUAGCUUCAGGAGAGACUAAACUGUCCCAUUAUAAUAUAGAUUAGUAUUUAUAAAUCUGUUUUUUCUAUUGCCUAUUUUAGGGAACUACUUGCCUUGCUUUAAUCCAAUAAAAUCAGAAAUGUAGGGGGAAGAAAACAAAAUAAAAAUAAGCUUUAACAAGAAAGAAGUAUAUCAGGCGAAGAUACAAUCAAGCAAAAGAUAAACUCAAAUUACAGACAAAACGAAGGAGCAUUCUCUGAAAACAAUUGUAUCCUUACUUCUUUUCUAAAUAAUUCUCUCUUACUCUUUAAAAUUCUAUAUUAUGUUUUUAUAGCCUCGAAGGUGGUUAAGCAUUUUCAAAUUUAAAGAUUGAAAACAAUGGCAGCAACAACCAAAAAAAAGUAACACUCAACCAAAGGAAAAUAGGUAUCAACUAUCUACAACUAUGAUAAUGCAAAUAUAGUUUUUACAAAUUUGUUUGUUAUGGUUUGACAAUUUCACUAAUCUAUUUGUUAUAAACAGAGCAUUUUCGACUAUCUUAGGAAUUUUUAGAAAAAAACUGUAUAUUUACGUACAUGUUUAGUAAUAUUUUUUUAUUAUAUUAAUCUUAUCAGAACAGUCAUUAAAACAAUAAAAAUAAAAGUGAAUAGAUUAAGCAUGAUUUUUUUAAUGCAAACAAAAAUUGACCCGUGCUUAGCACGGGAUGGUAAUACUAGUAUACUAUUAAAGUAGCAGCUGUUGAUUUGCAGAUGGAAAAUUGAUGCUGAAUCAGAGUAGAUAUUUUGUUUGGACCACUUCUUAAUUCUUCUAUAAGAAAGAUAUUUAUUAAAAUAUCAAGAAAAAUGACGUUUAUGUUUUGUAUUUGUCCGCCCAAAACUUUAUUUUUUCCAAGUGAAAAAUUGUCAAAUGGAGGUGGAAAAUAAAUAAAGAACGCGUUGAAUAAAUAAAAAAGGAUUGAAAAAGCACGGCAAAGAAGGAAAACGACGCGUAGUCUACGGACGUAUAUAAGGAACGGCAGAUUCCAAAGUCUUCAUCUCUCAUACUAUUCUUCAUCUUCUUCUUCUUCACGCGGUUGUCUCUCACCAACUCAACACACAUUCUCUUAAAAAGCCUAUCAGAUCAAACAUUCGUCGAAUAAUCAAAUCCAAUCGAUUUCAAUUUCAAUUUCAAUUUCACUCUCGGAACUUGGAACCAGCUAAAACCCUAACAGUAAGUGAUGUUGCGAGCUUUAGUACGGCCUCUCGAGCGGUGGUGCCCAGGAAGCAGAUCGAGCGGCGAUGCUUUACUCUGGCAAUCGGAGCUGAGACCGCACGCCGGCGGAGAGUAUUCGAUCGCGGUGGUUCAAGCCAAUUCGAGACUAGAGGAUCAGAGUCAGGUCUUCACAUCCUCCUCCGCCACUUACGUCGGAGUCUACGACGGACACGGUGGACCCGAAGCUUCUAGAUUCGUUAACAGACAUCUCUUCCCUCAUAUCCACAGUAAUCACAUCUUCUCAUCAUUCCAAGAUUCAAACUUUGCUUUAAAAAAAAAAAAAAAAUCUGAUCUUUGUUAUGUGAAUUUGCAGAGUUCGCUAAGGAAGAAGGAGGAAUAUCUCCAGAUGUGAUUAAGCGAGCGUUUAAAGAAACUGAGGAGGACUUUUGCCAUAUGGUUCAACGAUCCUUACCGUUGAAACCGCAGAUGGCUACUGUGGGGACUUGUUGUCUCUUUGGUGCUAUAACUAAUGGUACACUGUAUGUUGCGAAUCUUGGAGACUCGAGAGCUGUUCUUGGGAGAGUUGUUUCAGGGGUUGCUGAAGCUGAACGGUUGUCCACUGAUCAUAACGUUGCUGUUGAAGAAGUGAGGAAGGAGGUUAAGGCGCUUAACCCUGAUGAUUCGCAGAUUGUUAUGUAUAUUCGUGGAGUCUGGAGGAUUAAAGGCAUUAUUCAGGUAUGUUACUUAGAGCUUUUGCUUCCUUGCUUCCUUGCUUGUUUGUGAGAUAUGUUAGUUUCUAUGCAUAGAAGGUGUAGUGUGAUAGUGUGUAUUUUCUGUUUUGAGUAACUUAAGUUUGAUAUAAAUGGGGGGCUUGUAAUGUUCCAGGAAUCCUUCACAGGGGCUCCUGCAACGUUUCUUUCCCAGUGUAGUCAGAGGUCUACAUGAUAAUGAAGAGAUAUGUUUUGUGGUUGUUGAUGACCUUUCCAUGAAUGUUGAGCUCGUUGUAUGUAGUUAACUAAAUCGUUUAUCUAUGUGCUUCUUUAUAGGUAUCGAGAUCAAUUGGGGAUGUAUACUUGAAGAAGCCUGAGUUUUACAGGGAUCCGGUUUUUCAGCAACAUGGAAACCCCAUUCCUUUGAGGAGACCUGCGAUGACAGCUGAACCCUCCAUUAUAGUAAGGAAGCUUAAGCCACAGGACUUGUUUAUCAUAUUUGCAUCAGAUGGUCUCUGGGAACAUCUUAGUGAUGAAGCAGCCGUAGAGAUUGUACUCAAACACCCAAGAGCUGUAAGUUUGCCAUCCUAAACUCGAAGUUUAUUGUGUCUCUCUUUUUUCUGUUAGCUACUUUGUAGAUUUCUAACUCUCUGUGGUCUACAGGGGAUCGCACGAAGACUUGUAAGAGCCGCUCUUGAGGAAGCUGCAAAGAAGAGAGAAAUGAGAUAUGGAGAUAUGAAGAAAAUCGCCAGAGGGGUUCGAAGACAUUUCCAUGACGACAUAAGCGUCGUUGUUGUUUAUCUCGAUCAACACAAACCGAAGAAUGGUAAACUGAUCCAGCAAGGAGGCAUCACAGCUCCAUCGGAUAUCUACUCACUACGCUCAGAUGAAGCGAAGCAACGGCAGCUACUCAAUGUGUUAUACUGACUCUCUGAUUAUGGUAAAUGGUUGUUUUGGAAAAGAUUCAAAUAGGGAAGAAAACUUGUUUACAUAUUUGUUUAAUCUUUCACCAAGAAUGUUUGUUCUUGUUAUAUAUUGGAGUUGGAUUUGUAUAUUCUUUUACCAGCAAUGAACGAAACCCUUUUUUUCUUUUUGGGCAAAUCAGUUUUGGUUUUGUCAAACAAUACUUACUUCUGGCAUACAGAAGUAAGAAAACUUGUUUUGAGUUUACCUUGUUUGAGUUCUGCUAAUGCUCGAUGUGGUAAAUGAACAAGUGAAAGAGAAGAAUUUUAGGGUGAAUUUAUAUCUGUACUUCUGUUUUAAUAAUAUAGAUUUGCAGUAUAUAUCAGUUGAUCACGAUUUCUCUAAACCCAAACAUAUAAUUUUAUCUUCAUCAAACGAAGAGCUACAAGACAAUCAUGUCAACAGAAAAGAUUCAAUUACAUUUCUGCUUUGCAUUUUCUUUUGCUUCUCCUCAUUUUUCUCAAUCAUUUGGUAAUAUUUUACUCAUCUUCAUUUCCAUAUAAAUGAUAACGCUAGAUAGAAUCAGUUAUUUUUUGACAAACUAUUCAUAGUAUUUGUUUUAAAUAUUUUUUCCGCUGGAUGUUAGUACAAAUGCCAUUGUAGGGGCUUGAAUGGAAUUAGAAUCAAGGCAGUUAAUUAAAGUUUGAGUAUACAUCGAUGGAAUUAGAUGAUUCCACUAAAAUGCACAUGAAUUUAUUUGGCAGUUAAGACGUGGAAUUAAGUAGAAUGGUUUGAAAUACAUGUUGACUCAACCAUAAUCUGCGGAGAAGAUUUUUGAAAGGGACAGAAACUUGGUUCCCAUCGUUUAAAGCUCAACGGCUUUUGAUUUUCGUUUGCUAGAUUUUGUUGCUUGAUCUCAGCUUUCCUCAGCUAUAUCAAAAUAAACAAGACCAUUAUGUUUUCAGAGAAUGGUUCACGUCAUGCAAGAACUGGCUAAUUAAACGCAUCUCUCUCCAGAUCACUCCUCAGCUUCUUCAUCUUCUCGCUCACCACACUCUCCACCGAUGUACCAGCACCACUGAACAUAAUCACGCCGUACUUUCUCCCUCCUUCAACUGGCAUGUGUAUAUGAGCAUGUUACGGUAAAGAGUAAAAACAUAAACAAAUUUUUUUUGUUAGUAGUCCUCACAAUGUUGCUAUAUCAGCAAUAAGUUUUUGAUUUUCCCUGUUGACUGAAGAGGAAAACAUAAACCAAAGUUGAACCAUCUAAAAUCAGAUCUAAACUAUAUAGGAGUAAAGAUGAAUUGUGAUAUCUAUUAACUCUGGCUCAAGCAAUCUUCAAACAGACCUGCAUCAACAGCUCAAACCUCACUGCUGACGUCUUCUUUCCACCAUGUCUCACACCAACUGCAUCUUGUAGUGACUCACCCUGCAUCAGCCCUUAAGAUAUCUCCUCUAGAACCCUGAUAUCUCUUCUCUGCUGUGCCAUCCUCUAACACCUUCACUUGUAUGAGAAAUCACACUAGACUUGGUGUUUGCAUCACAUUCUGUCUCAGACCCAACCAGUACAUCAUUCUGAUUCAUUUUCAUUCUUCAAGCAUGCCUUGAAUAUCUAUAAACCUCACGUGAGUAUAACUUCUCUGUUAUCCUGAGACGAAAACCUUUCUUGUGAUGCUCCAAAGACACAAGUAAACCUCACUUGUUCUUAACCCAAUGCAGUUUGACUUCUCUGGAUUUCCAUUCAAUUAGGAAUGCAUUUCAGUUGCUUAACUUCUCUAAGAUGACCAUACUUCAUUAUCCUUUGACCCUGACUUUGAAGCAGACAAUCUCUUUCUGACCUUGAAUCUUUGUCUUCUGCGGACUUGUAUCACCCAUGAAGCCUAUCAAAACCAGUGAUUCCUUUUUAACUCCUACAUGCCAUGAGCUAACCAUCCUCUGAAGCCGUCUGACUUCAUUACUCCACCUGCAACUCAACCUCUUAAGUAGCCGUGUACUUCAUUUACUUGCAGAAACUCCACUUGAAGCUUCAUAUAUUUCUCAAUCUUAGCUCCACCUUUCAGAGUUAAAACAUCACUGCCUUAUUGAUUAAUCAUGGCUUAAAACUUGAUAAUUGUCUCAGUCCGCAAGACACACUCAUUUUCACUGCAGCCACUGCAACGAAUCUGUUUUUACCAGAAGAUCCACCAAGGCGCUUCCCUUUACUACCUUACGCCACUCAUCUGAACCAACUUGACAUCUAUUAUCAUUCCUCCUCUUUGGAUGAGAAAAUUGUGUCAAACCUUGAGGCACCACUUCUGCUAUAUCUCUAGAUUCCUCUUUGUUACUCUCAAUUUUGACCAUUCAGAACAGAACUCCUGCUGCCAUCUUCAAGUAUUACACUUUAAGAAUGUACCAUUUCUGGAAAAAAACAUUCUCUUGAGACUUCCGAGUAGAACUUUAACCUUGAGCUUCAUGUCCAGAUUUCUUUAUAAUCGACACGUCAGAUUUCAGUUGACGUAAGUAAACCAGAAACCACCUUAUUCUUCCCUCCUUUGGUUUUUUAUACCACUGAUAUCACAAUCAGUUUCACCAAUCAUCUUCCCUGCCAAGUUAAGACACUACCUCCUUGUGUCACAAGGCUUUAACCUGAGCUUAUACAACCCAAAACACAACUGUAAAUGAUAUUUUAUGCAACACUUUGGAAUAUGAAGUCAUUUUUAACAUUUUUAAUAUUACUUAUAACUUUUAGGUUUCUAAAAUAGUAAUCCCUACAAACUUACUUUUUUGAGUAAUGAUUGGUGCUAUUGAUAUAACAUACACCCACUAAUCGGUUUACUUUAUAGACUUGUUUCUUAUACUAAUUAUUUUUCUUAAUUGAGAUUUUUAAGUUAUUUUUGGUUUUUGAUUGGUAGAUUGGUGCCACGUGUAGGAAGGGAGUGGCACGUGCCACAUACUAAAUAAUAAACCUUUUGAGCAAAAUUAUGUACUGACUAGGGAUUAACCCCCGGCCGUUUUUAAAAGCUCAACUGUGCCCCACCCCACCCAAUUUCCAGGCCUUCAAUGAGCUGUAUUUUUUUUCGUUUUAACUCUUUUACACUUUUUAGAUUAUUUCUUUUUUUUUUGNNNNNNNNNNNNNNNNNNNNNNNNNNNNNNNNNNNNNNNNNNNNNNNNNNNNNNNNNNNNNNNNNNNNNNNNNNNNNNNNNNNNNNNNNNNNNNNNNNNNNNNNNNNNNNNNNNNNNNNNNNNNNNNNNNNNNNNNNNNNNNNNNNNNNNNNNNNNNNNNNNNNNNNNNNNNNNNNNNNNNNNNNNNNNNNNNNNNNNNNNNNNNNNNNNNNNNNNNNNNNNNNNNNNNNNNNNNNNNNNNNNNNNNNNNNNNNNNNNNNNNNNNNNNNNNNNNNNNNNNNNNNNNNNNNNNNNNNNNNNNNNNNNNNNNNNNNNNNNNNNNNNNNNNNNNNNNNNNNNNNNNNNNNNNNNNNNNNNNNNNNNNNNNNNNNNNNNNNNNNNNNNNNNNNNNNNNNNNNNNNNNNNNNNNNNNNNNNNNNNNNNNNNNNNNNNNNNNNNNNNNNNNNNNNNNNNNNNNNNNNNNNNNNNNNNNNNNNNNNNNNNNNNNNNNNNNNNNNNNNNNNNNNNNNNNNNNNNNNNNNNNNNNNNNNNNNNNNNNNNNNNNNNNNNNNNNNNNNNNNNNNNNNNNNNNNNNNNNNNNNNNNNNNNNNNNNNNNNNNNNNNNNNNNNNNNNNNNNNNNNNNNNNNNNNNNNNNNNNNNNNNNNNNNNNNNNNNNNNNNNNNNNNNNNNNNNNNNNNNNNNNNNNNNNNNNNNNNNNNNNNNNNNNNNNNNNNNNNNNNNNNNNNNNNNNNNNNNNNNNNNNNNNNNNNNNNNNNNNNNNNNNNNNNNNNNNNNNNNNNNNNNNNNNNNNNNNNNNNNNNNNNNNNNNNNNNNNNNNNNNNNNNNNNNNNNNNNNNNNNNNNNNNNNNNNNNNNNNNNNNNNNNNNNNNNNNNNNNNNNNNNNNNNNNNNNNNNNNNNNNNNNNNNNNNNNNNNNNNNNNNNNNNNNNNNNNNNNNNNNNNNNNNNNNNNNNNNNNNNNNNNNNNNNNNNNNNNNNNNNNNNNNNNNNNNNNNNNNNNNNNNNNNNNNNNNNNNNNNNNNNNNNNNNNNNNNNNNNNNNNNNNNNNNNNNNNNNNNNNNNNNNNNNNNNNNNNNNNNNNNNNNNNNNNNNNNNNNNNNNNNNNNNNNNNUUUUUUAUGUUGUAUGUUUACAUAUUAUUUAUUAUUUUCUAAAUUAUAUAUGGAGAUAAACCGUCUUUUUUUUAGUGAAAAAUGGUAAUUUUACAUAUGUUUAAUGUAGUUUUUCCAUUUUUAUGUUGUAUGUUUACAUUUUAUUUUUUUAAAAUAAAAAUGUAAUAUGAUAAUCUUACAUAUGUUUAAUGUAGUAUUUCCAUUUUUUAUGUUGUAUUUUUACAUAUAUUUAUUAUUUGCAAAAUUAUAUAGAAUGUUUUUUGUUUUUUUUAUAAAACGGUAAUGUUACAUUAUGAAGAUAAGCCGUCUUUUUUUUAAGUGAAAAAUGAUAAUCUUACAUAUUUUUAAUGUAGUUUUUCCAUUUUUUGUGCUGUAUGUUUACAUAUUAUUUAUAAUUUUCAAAAAUUAGUAAUAUUAAAAUGUAAAACUAUAUUUUAUGCAACUUGUCAUCUUUCGGGAGAAGUUUUUUUUGCUGAUGUGGACGCUCUAUGGAGCCUUAAAAGGUCAAUUUUAUUAGUAUUUUUUUUAUAAAACGGUAAUGUUACAUUAUGGAGAUAAACCGUCUUUUUUUUAAGUGAAAAAUGGUAAUCUUACAUAUCUUUAAUGUAGUUUUUCCAUUUUUUAUGCUGUAUGUUUACAUAUUAUUUAUAAUUUUCGAAAAUUAGUAAUAUUAAAAUGUAAAACUAUAUUUUAUGCCACGUGUCAUUUUUCGGGAGAAGUUUUUUUGCUGAUGUGGACGCUUUAUGGAGCCUCAAAAGGUCCCUUUUAUUAGUAAGGAUUCAACUUUGUGGCUUGUUGGUUUUUAAAAGCUCAAUUGUGCACCACCUCACCCAAUUUCCAGGCCUUCAAUGAGCUGUAUUUUUUUUUCGUUUUAACUCUUUUAGAUUUUUUAGAUUAUUUCUUUUUUCUUUUUGGCUAAAUAACAUUAUUCUUUCUAAGUUAGAAAUUUUCUUUUGUUCUCUUUAAUACUAGUUUUGGAAUUCUUUUAUAAUUUAUUUAAAGUUUACUUUAACAAUUUUUUCAACUAAAGUGAAUAUUAGAAAAGGAAGUUAUCGUGUGUAAUAAGAAAAAAAAAAUUAUAAAUAUAAAUAUUAUCUUAUAAUAUUAUUUAUAUAAGUAUCUAAAAUUGUAGAAUUGCUUAUCUUUUUGUGUGAUUUACCUUUUAAAAACGAAAAAUGUAAAAUAAUAUAUUUUUAAAAUUAAUAUGAUAUAAUUUAUUAGAUAGUAUGAUCCAUAUUAAAAUAUUUUCUGGAUUCACUCCUGGUUACAUGUUUUUUUUUCUUAACCUAAUUACGUAAUAAAAGUAUCACAUACAUGUAUGUCAUUACAAAGGAACGUUGUGUCAAGGUCUUGGUUGUUUUUUGUUGAUUGAAAAUCUACCACAUACGACAUAUACGAACAAUCUUUGGUAGCCUUGACAUCUCUUUCCACAUACGACAUUUACGAACAAUCUAAAAUUUUAUUUUUAUAUUUUUUUUAAAAAUUCUUAAAUUUUGCUUAUGUUUUACUUAUGUUUUUUUUGUCAGUGCUUAUGUUUUACUAUGCUUGUUUAUUUUAAAUUAUUUUGUGUGUUUAAUGUAUUGCGAUUGCUUUGUUCUCGAUAAUCUCAUUGUGCUCAGCCAUCUCGAUCUCGUUGUGCUCAGUUAUAUUGAUCUCAUUGUGCUCAACCAUCUCGAUCUCGUUGUGUUCAGAAGACUGCACGAGAUCCUUCUUCAUUUUAUAAACCAGAUAAACAAUGAACCCUGCGACAACCAGCAACGCCACAACCAAACUCGCAGUCAAACUUCCCACGAGAAUUUUGAUAUUCUUGUUUCCCUUACGUGAAGGAACCCUCGGACUGAUGUCAGUCCCAAUCUCCGAAUUGCCUUUAGUAUCUAUCACUGGCGUCCCGUUAUUUAUCUUGAAUUCUGGGACCUUGCCAGGUUAUGCCAAACCAAUCCUGACACGGGUUGUUCCCUUUCCAACUCUUUGCAAAUUCUAGGGGAUAAUUGAAUCCCCCAGCAAUAGAAAGGAGAGUCUGAACGACGGGAUCAAAUGGAGAGCCAGGAGAAUCUAAACAAAAAGUGUUUGUGCCUAGACUCAUAUCAACUCGAACCAUCGAAUUAAACUUUGGCAUUGGUCCCUGAAGCAAAUUACUGGAGAGAGCAAUCACUUGCAGAGACUGCAGCUCAGUAAACCCUGUACGAAUGAUUCCAGAAAUUUGAUUGCCCAUUAUCUCGAAAACUCGCAGAGCUGUCAGGUUAAUUAACUCCGGAGGUAGGCUACCUGCGAAUCCUUUGUUCGAGAGCCGUAUGCCUGGACGCGGCUGUUCUUGUCACAAUCCAGUUCAGUCCAAGUACAGUAAUCUGAGCUACUCCAAUCAAUAUCGUCUGGACAAUGCAAAGACGCCCUCAAGGCUGCCAUAGCCAAGUAAUCUGGUCCCUCAUCUUCUAGGCUUGCAUUUACCAACACAGAUAAACAGAGACAGAGACAGAUCCAGAAAAGUCUUGUGGUAUUCCUAGAUAAAUGAGAAACUAGCACACCAUUAGUCAAACGAAUCCAACAUUAUUCCAGCAAUGUGAAGUAAACAAGUUGCAUGCAGUAUGAGCUACAUGUACGAAUUCGUAUACACAUGCUCUAAUACAAGGGAAUGCUACCAAUGAGACACAUCAGCUCAUGAGAGAGUAACAAAGAAGUAUAAAGCAGAAUACGCUUUCUCGCUUUGAGAUUAACCUAAGAAAAAUUGUAAAAGUUUGUUAGCUUAUUAUUCUUGCUCUUUUCUGAUAUUUUUAUUUUCCUAUGAAUUUUCUGAUAAAAUUGCUCAAUCUUGUUCUACAAUUCUCUUCUUCACACUUGAGUGUUUUUGAUUUGGCUUUUUAUGAAGGUGAAAUAAAGUGUUACUGUUUAUAAUCUCAGUGGUAUCAGAAGCCAGUCUUUCCUUGGAAUCCAUCGAUGAUUCAACCGGAAUCCAUGGCUGUUCGCGACACAUUUAUCGCAUUAUCCGUACCGGUCAUGGUGGAGCAGAAUCAGAAUGCAGUUGCGAGAAACAAACGGAAUCGUGGAAUAUCAUGAGAAAUUUGAAAUGCUUUUGAUCCGUUUCUGAGAAGUAUUUGGUUAAAUCAGUUUUGGAAGGAUUGCAGAUGGAAUGUUUCAACCCCAAUCCAUUAACGAUUUUCGCUUGAAAAGAUUUAUUCAACUGAAGACCCAUACCAAAGUCUCAGGUUGGUGAAGCACGUUGGGUGUCUUGAUGUUUAUUGGCUCUUAAUUUAGCUCAAGGAUACGGACUGAGAUUUCUAAGUGUCUGUCAGAUAUGGAGAUCAUAGGUAAUGCACACCAACUGUAUGAUCGAAAGUCUCCUAAGAGCUAAGACAAAAUAAGAAGCAAUUUAAGUGUUGGAAAUUCAAGUUCACUGCUAAGAUUACAAUGUUGGCAUCGAUCUUGCUGUCACUUGUGCAACAACCUUCACUAUCGAUUUCACCUCUACUCCAAACAAGCUUAUGAACAUCAAAUGCUUCAGCCAUGAGCCAACAAAGUAAUCGCAAUAAGCCUGUUCCAUCCUUGCAUAAACAAAGUGGGCAAAAUCCCUUAUUCUCCACCUAUACCAAAUAUCAAACGGUUUGUUCCACCUAAGUUCCAAAGCCUGACUUCCAUUGCUAUUAACUGAUGCCAAGGAUCCAAUAGUUAAUCUCGAUAAGCCCUCUACAAUCUUGAACUCAAGAAUCACCAAAAUCCUCAACGUAAGUCUAAUAACUGUCUGCAACGGCCCAGUCGUAAUCUCUGUGAACACAUUAUGCAUUUCGGUUACGCGAAAUAAUGGCAGAGCAACCCACACUAUAGCCGUUGCAGGUUCUGUCUCUUGAGCAAACCGAAACUUGACAAGCUCAAACAUCAUAAGUUCUGAAUCACUCUGUAAUGUGUCAGACUUAGAAACAACCUCCAACUCAGUAGAAUGUACUGUAUUGAAGUCUGCAAUUGUUUGGAAAUGUUUAUACCUCCAUUUGUGCUUAUUGAAAAACUCCAUAUCAGCAAGAAAAAACUGUGCCAGGCUCAUUGACUUGGAAACCAUCUCAUCAUCAUGCACAUCAACCUUGACAUGUAUGCAUGCUUCUGAAUUCUCUGCCACUGAAAAUUUCCAGUCUUGUUUGCGGAGUCAACUUGAGCAAGUGAACAAGGAUAUAUAGUAGAUGAGACUCUUAUGCACAAAGAGUUGUAGUCCCCAUUCAAAAUUUAGGUGAAAAGGAACCUUGCUGGACCAGAAAGUAACAGCGCAAUACAAGUGCAUCUAAUCCAAGCCCAACAAUCCAUGUUCUUUUUGUGACUGAGCAUUUGAUUCAAUGCAACACGUCUCCCUCGAAAUAUAUGUGACCACUCAUCGACUGCUUUGGAAGGAAGCACCUGCAUUCACUAGCUCAUCACUUGCUUCUUGUGAUUUAUGUUCCUGAAUCAAUUCUUCUGCGUGAGUCGUCUGUGUCACCAAUGAUCUAUAUGUUCAGAACUCGAGUCCAGUUCAACAUCUGUUUGGGAAUUCAAUUCCGUCUUUGGCCUCCCUUUGGUCAACAUACAUGUUGACUUCCUUUUUAAGUAACCGAAAGCCGUAUCAAGCCUCUUUUUUUCUGUACUCGGACUCUUAGGAACGUAUCAGUUUCAUGUGCAUAGACCACCUGAUAUAACACAUUGAUUUGGCUUCUUGGUUUUGGGUUCUGAUCACAUGUAUAUGCACUGUGGACAUCAAAGGGGCAGAGCUAAUAUCUGUGACUAGCAAAGGAGAGUCUUGAUAUGGCUGAUGGAUAUUGUGAUGUGGUGUGGUGAGGUGAUAUUGUGAUAAUCAGAAGAAGCCUACGACGUUUUUAUGAAUAAUUUUAAACACCUUCCCAUCGUUGUUACAAAGUUCCCAUCCUUGUACUUGAAUUGAGUAAAUAUAUCAAGGUGAAGAAGCAGCAUCUUUCAUCCUGAAUUUUUUUUUUUUUUGCUAAAAUUUCCUUGACACUUUUUGUUCCAUCUUGAAUUCUUCACACUCAGUGUUUAUUGAACGUAAAACAUCAAGUGUUACUGUUCGUCAUUUUCCUGUUUUACGUUUUAACCUAAACAUUCUCAUACACACAUGCCAAUUUAUGAAUACGAAAAAUCAAGUGUUACUGUUCAUCAUUUUCCUCUUUACGUUUUAACAUAAACACUUAUGCUUGGCAAAUAAGUGUCAAAGAUAGUAUAACUCAGAGAAGGCAUAAGGAUUUCAAUAACUCAAGAAGAUAAAACGCCAAGUUUAGAGACUUGUCAAAUGGGUUCGAAAGGCAACUCUUACCUUGUAAACCGAUUAAUCUUGGGUGAAAUUGAAUCUUGCAAUCGAUUCGAAUCUUGACGGACUCUGAGUAGGAUCUAAGCUUCUGAAAACUGAAAUCGUGAUCGACCCUUCGCUGCUUUUUAAAGAAGAAUGGAUGCUUUAGAUUUUCCACUUCAGUCAAGAGGGGCAAAAUCACAAAACUGUCCAGAAAUAGUAACAUCACUACUACCAAAUUUCUUUUAAAUCUGGCGGCGAGACGUUAGUUGGCCACAUAUAUUUGAUACAAAUUAUGAACAUAUUUAUGUUGUUCACUUACAAGAGGAAAAUAAUUUGUAACCGCCGGCGAGACCUGCAGAGAAAAGAGAUGGAGAAGAAGAAGAAAUAAAGAGGGAAAAAGAACUAAACAUUUGAAAUAUUAGGAUUAGGUGGGUCCUACUGCUAUAAUUUGUAUCAAAUAUGGAAAGAUAAAAACACCUCACCAGGUUCACUAAAUUGUUUUUCAUUUUAUUACAAUUGAUAAAAAAAAUUAAAUAAAAAUUUUUUAAAAAAGUUUGAAUUGAAAAAGUAUAAUUCGAAAACAUAAAAAAAAAUUUACUUUUUUUUUACUUUAUUUUUCUUAUUUUUUUUUAUUUUUUUCUUAUUUAUUUUUUUUAAAUUUAAAUAAUGAUUUAUUAUAUAUAUAAAUAACAAGGGCGUAAGAGUCUUUUGCCACCUAAUGAAGAAGGUAUUUUUGAAAAUGUCUCCUUAGUGAUUAUAAAAAUGAAAAGUUUAACCAUGAAAAUAGUAAACAUGUAAUUUCCCCUUAUUUAAAUCUAUUUCCUUUUUCAAAAAAACUCAGUGUGGUGGCUGUUGUUUCAAUUAGUAAUUAAGCAUCUUUUCAAUUUCGUUUAGAUCUAUUUCUCCUUUUUAAACUCUAUAUAUGCGGUGGUUGUUAUAUCAAGUGGAUUUAUAAAUUAAAUUAGGCAUGCAUCCUUGUAUUUGUCAGCAGUAUUUGCAAGCCGUUAUUGUCUAUUUGAUUCUCCCACCAAAGGAAAGGUAUUAUUUCAUUUUAUCUGUCCCACCGUGUCAUAUGUUUCUGAAAAAAAUAAUCCGAAUAUAUACCCCUUUUUUUUAUGUUAUGGAACAGAAUGUGGGGUUUGGAUUGUAGUUCAUGUUGCUUUGUAUGAGCAGAAUGAAAAGCCUUCCCUCUGCUUUAGAGUAGUAAGUUCAUGGAUUGGUUCUUGACAUUCUAAAUCAGUUUCUAAGACACUACCAUAAUCUUUAGUCCAGGUUUUAGCUAAUCGGUUUCAGUCCUUUAGUUGUUUAUAUGUGCUUGAUAUGCAGGAUGGAUCCUAUUUUAGAGAUAAGUUAAUCGAACUAUUAACUCAUAACUUGACUUUCAAGUUUAAAAAAAAUCAUAUAAUCAUCAAAGAUAUAAAUAUUAUUUCAGAAAUUUUAGAUAUUAAAACCAAUUUAUUUUAGUUUAUUACCUGAUGCAAUAUUGUAAAUACAAGUAUUUUAGUUUACAACCUGAUGUAAUAUUGUAAAUAUAAGUAACUUUCAACAUUUCCGGCCCUUAUCAUACAAGGCGCAACAAUCAUUAAAGAUUUACAGAAAAUCUCUUGCUGCAAUACUCUUUACAAGCUGGUUUCAAAACUCCUGGUUGCUAAGUUGAAAUCCCUCCUUCCUAGAAUAAUCCUGCCCAAUCAAACAGCGUUCAUUAGAGGAAGAUUGUUAAUGGAAAACACAUUGUUAGCUUCUAAAAUUGUGAGUGAUUACGACAAGUGAUUACGACAAAGACAAGGGUGCAAAACGUUUCACUAUUAAAUUUGAUAUAGCCAAAGCUUUCGAACACUAUUCGGUGGGACUUCAUUCUCUACUGCUUAUUCGCUCUAAAUCUGCCUACGGUUUAUAUAGACUGGAUCAAAUAAUGUAUCUCUACAACAGCUUUCUCUGUGGGAAUCAAUGGUUAUUUCAAAGGUACCAGAGGAUUAAGACAAGGUGACCCCUUGUCACCCUAUCCUUUUGGCCUAGCAAUGAAUAUUUUCUCUCAAAUGCGGGCAUGUUUAACUAUCAUCCUAAAUGUAUAGAUUCAAAGUUGACGCACCUGUGUUUCGCUGACGAUCUUCUCAGAUGGCUCUGCUGAUUCAAUCCAAGGGAUUCUUAAAGUGCUCUGUCUGGUCUUGCUAUCAGUCCGGAAAAGUCAUGCUUCUUCUCCUGUAGACUUUCUGAUGAGGAAAUCGUUUCAACUGAAACUAUGUCUGGUAUUCCUCAUGGUCAUCUGCCUAUUCGCUACAUGGAUCUGCCUCUGCGCACAAAAAAGUUGUCUAUAAGUGACUGCGAACCACUUGUUCAAUCAGUAAUGAAUAAAAUCUAAGUCUUAUCUUUAGCAGGCAGGCAAGUGUUGAUCAAUACAUUCAUCUCAGGGAUCACUAAUUUAUGUGUAAUGCAUUUUCUAUGGAAAGGGAAUCUAGAAGGGAGAUUCUUAGCAAAAGUUUCUUGGGAUAUUGUAACUACACCAAAACAGGAAGGUGGUUUAGAAAUUAAAAAUCUUCGGAGGUGUAGAACCGUACCUGUGCGAUGAAGCUGCUGUGGCUUCUCCUUUUUCAGAAAGAAUCCAUUUGAGUGGCAUAGAUUCACCAGAAUGUAAUCAAAGACAAGUCCAUCUGGGAAUUAAACGAAAAGCAAAGUUAUACCUGGUAAUGGAAGUCACUGCCACUUCUAGACUGAUCCUUGGUUGAACUGAUUCAAUUCUUAGGCAGUAAUGGGAUAAACUCAUGAUUCAGCUUAUCAGAUUUAACACAGAAAUGAUAGAGAUAUAAAAGAAAUUGAUGAGAAUCAGAAGGAUUGAGAAGAACGAGGAAGAAGAAGGAUAGAGAGAUUAAAUAUUUCUUGAUUGAUAGUUUGAUAAUUUGAUAAUUUUACUGUUACACAAACGACACUACUAACUAGGAUUAUGGAUGGACCUAUCUAAUAGGAUUAAAAAGUUAGUAGAUAAUCCUAUUAAGUAUGUCGUAAAGCAAACUAUCAAUAAAGUUAGUAGAUAAUCCUAUUAAGUUACGACAUAAUAGCCCAGUGAGUAACUCAACGACGGCCCAAGGUAAUGGCCCAUUUAAAUCAUCACGGACCCAUCAUUACUCCCCGGUCGACGACAACCUUGUCCUCAAGGUUGAACCAGCUUGAACCAAAAGCCUGCAAUAAACUUCUUUCCGAUGCACCUCUGGUGGCCUUGGCGAAGAGAAGUAAAGACUCCUUUUCACCAUCUCUACUACAGAAACAUCUUUGUGUACAGGUUGAUAACGAUCUGCUUUUCUCUUUACACAGCAUGCAAAAUCAGUGAAACUCUUCACCAACAACUCUAUAAGAUGUAACAAGUAAAUCCACAGGGAACCCAUAAUCUCGGUAAAAACUCUUUUCACACAGGCAUAGAUUCUUCUGCCAUUAAAUAAAUCCUUACCAGUACUCACGACUGUCAUAGUUGUUGACAUGAAGAGAUUAAAGAGCAAGAGUAAAGACAUGAAGAACAUGAUUAAUCAUGGACAGGAGAUCAUGGACAGAAAAUCAUGGACAUGAAAUCAUGGACAGGAAAUCAUGGACAGGAAAACUGAAGCAAGGAAAUGUGUGAUACUGAUUUAAAUAUCUUGUCUGAAGUCUUGGACGAAUUUAAACAAGUGGAGGCAACUGGAUAGAGCUGUUGGAGUGUGGAAACAAAGUCACAUGAUAUGCUAAGGAAGGAAGAGAGAAAAGAGUUGUCACUAUCCGAAAGUGACUUUCCCAAAUCUUGUCUUUAUUAGUUUAUUCAUCUCCAUUUGUUUAUUCAUUCUCAUUGUCUUAUUCUCCUUGCCAGAUCUAUUUAUGUAACUAUUGUAGACACUAAAUCAAUCUAAGAAAAAAAAUGUUCCUCAAAUAUUCUUGUCUCUCUCUCUUGGAUUUCUUCACAUAUCUCUCUUAGUUCUUCACCAAAAUCUCUCAAAUAAUUCUCAGAAACUCUCACUAAUUCUCAUAAAUUUUCAUGGUAUCAGAGCAACACGCUCUUGAAACCUAAAUCUCUUCCGCAAAUUACUCUGGUUUUAUUUCUCCUUUUCUCUUUAAAAUCUCUUAUCAUUCACACCAGUCUCUCUCCUCUGUUCUUGAACUGUUCUUGAAUUUUUCUAGUUCUGUUCUUGUGAUUCUUGAUGGAUCCAGGAGAAAACUCAAGAAUGGUGGUGAUUCCAGUUACUCUUAAAGGAGCUAACUAUCUACAUUAGGCAAGGCUUGCUAAGACAGCUCUUGGAGGCAGAGGGCUUUGGGAGAUUGUUGAAGAAGGCAGGCCACAAAAGAAGACUAUCAUAGGAGAGGAUGGAAAAGAGGCUGUUUUUGCUGAUGCUGGCGCCAAGAAGAAAUGUCAAGAGGACCAGUUGGUGUUGUCCAUUCUUCAGCACAGUCUUGACCCCUCACUUCAGGAAGGUUACUCCUAUUGUGAAACUUCCAAAGAACUGUGGGAUACACUUCAGAAGGUGUAUGGAAACAAUUCCAACAUCAGUAGAGUCUUUGAAGUCAAGAGGGCUAUCAAUACUCUUAGUCAAGAGGACAAUGAUUUUGAUAAACAUUUUGGGAAAUUCAGAUCCUUGUGGACUGAACUUGAGAUGCUCAGGCAAGCAAUUAUUGAUCCUGAUGUGCUUAAUCAAAGGAAAGAGCAAGACAAGGUAUUUGCUUUGCUGCUUACCCUCCAUCCAAGCUAUGGUGACCUCAUCAAGCAUAUCCUAAGGAAUAAGGAGCUAUCUUCUCUAGAUGAGGUAUGCUCUGAGAUUCACAAGAAGCAAGGCUCAGUUGGUCUCUUUGGAGGAGGAAAGAAAGAUCUGGUGCUUGCAAACCAAGCUGAUGGAGCAGCAAACAAAAGCUCUUACAAAGCUGAAGAUAAG
rnacentral:lncRNA from 1 species